AACCCAAGAACUGAGACCACAAAAUGGCUGCCGGCGGCUUCGUCACGUGACCCCUUUGUGCCUUUCGGGCCCCCGAACUCCGCGGGACCCAGGUGAGCUAACUUUAGUGAAAUGGAGUGUUGCUUGUCACUGUUUUCACUGAUGCUUUGAGGAACGUCACCUGCAUAUGCACUCUGCAUCCAGCUCCUGGCCCUGUCCACAAGUGGGAAGAUAAAGUAAAGAUUCCAAACCCAUGGAGGGAGAUUGCAGGUGUCAGAAGUGAGUCAUGGAGUCAGGACAGUUGAAGAGUGAAGAGGACGGAGGCCCAGGGAGCAUCAUCAAGAGUCCAGACAGCAGAGCGAGAAGAGCCAGGGGUGGGAGAAGGGCUAGAAGAGGGACAGCUGGGAGAAGCUGGGAGCUGAGCUGGGAG
ensembl:antisense Gm28529 predicted gene 28529